rnacentral:rRNA from 1 species
GUUAGUGGCGGACGGGUGAGUAACACGUGGGAACGUGCCUUUUGGUUCGGAAUAACUCAGGGAAACUUGUGCUAAUACCGAAUGUGCCCUUCGGGGGAAAGAUUUAUCGCCAUUAGAGCGGCCCGCGUCUGAUUAGCUAGUUGGUGAGGUAAAGGCUCACCAAGGCGACGAUCAGUAGCUGGUCUGAGAGGAUGAUCAGCCACAUUGGGACUGAGACACGGCCCAAACUCCUACGGGAGGCAGCAGUGGGGAAUCUUGCGCAAUGGGCGAAAGCCUGACGCAGCCAUGCCGCGUGAAUGAUGAAGGUCUUAGGAUUGUAAAAUUCUUUCACCGGGGACGAUAAUGACGGUACCCGGAGAAGAAGCCCCGGCUAACUUCGUGCCAGCAGCCGCGGUAAUACGAAGGGGGCUAGCGUUGCUCGGAAUUACUGGGCGUAAAGGGAGCGUAGGCGGACAUUUAAGUCAGGGGUGAAAUCCCGGGGCUCAACCUCGGAAUUGCCUUUGAUACUGGGUGUCUUGAGUAUGAGAGAGGUGUGUGGAACUCCGAGUGUAGAGGUGAAAUUCGUAGAUAUUCGGAAGAACACCAGUGGCGAAGGCGACACACUGGCUCAUUACUGACGCUGAGGCUCGAAAGCGUGGGGAGCAAACAGGAUUAGAUACCCUGGUAGUCCACGCCGUAAACGAUGAUUGCUAGUUGUCGG